CGGCAGGAAACGCAAGUUGUGUAAUAGCUCGAUCUUAACACUGGGGGCCGAAGAAACUUUUUCCCGUAGAAGAGUGUGUAACCAGUUGGUGGGCAGCAGUUUUUAGGAAGCUGAAUCUCAAAGGUCCAUAGCAGGCCAGAUCUCGCAUGACCACCCCUGUGUUCUUCUCCCGUAACUGUACAUUCAGCUUCCCCUGCACUUUCCCAAGAGCAACAGAAAAAAAGCAAAUGCCAGAAAUGUAUUCUCUCCCAGUUCUGGAUCAGUCUGAAAUCAAAGUGCCAUCUGGGCCAUGCUCCUGCUGACAGACCUAGAGGAGACUACUCCCCAUUUCUUCUGGUGGCUGUCAGGAGAGAAGGAGGGAAAUGGAAUAGAGGAAAAACUUUAAGAUGAAGAAAAAUAACAUGCCCUAAGCCCUGUGUCAAUCACUGUUCUCCAGAGAAACAACUGAUAGGAUAUGGGUGCAUGUGCCUGUUUUUUUUUUUUUCUGUGUGUGUGUGUAUGUGUGUGUGUGUGUGUGUGUAUUCAUUUUAAGAAAUUGGUUUAUGUGAUUAUGGGGGCUUAUUGAAUGUAAAAUUUGUAGGGCAGGCCAGCAGGCUGGGAGCUAGGCAGACGUUAAUGCUGCAAUCUUGAGGCAUAAUUCCUUUUCUGAAGCCCUAACCCCCUCAAUGCCUCAGAAUGUGACUGUAUUGGAGAUAGGGCCUUUACAGAGGUAAUUAGGUUAAAACGAGACCAUCAGCAUGGGCUGUGAUCCAGUCUAACUGGUGUCUUCAUAAGAAAGAGAGAUGAGGACAUGCAACCAGGGGGAUGUGUGUAGAGAGGAUGACCUUGUGAAGAGACAGUAAGAGGAUGGCCAUGUGUAAGCCAAGGAGAGGGGCCUCAAGAAACCAACCCUGUUCUGACACUAGGAGCAUGACAAAUAAAUUCCUGUUGU